CACGUAGGGGACGAGCGUUGCUCGGAAUCACUGGGCGUAAAGCGCACGUAGGCGGAUCUUUAAGUCAGGGGUGAAAUCCUGGAGCUCAACUCCAGAACUGCCUUUGAUACUGGGGAUCUCGAGUCCGGGAGAGGUGAGUGGAACUGCGAGUGUAGAGGUGAAAUUCGUAGAUAUUCGCAAAAACACCAGUGGCGAAGGCGGCUCACUGGCCCGGUACUGACGCUGAGGUGCGAAAGCGUGGGGAGCAAACAGG
rnacentral:rRNA from 1 species